GAUGAACGCUGGCGGCGUGCUUAACACAUGCAAGUCGAACGGAAAGGCUCCUGCUUGCAGGGGUACUCGAGUGGCGAACGGGUGAGUAACACGUGGGUGAUCUGCCCAGCACUUCGGGAUAAGCCUGGGAAACUGGGUCUAAUACCGGAUAGGACGAUGGUUUGGAUGCCAUUGUGGAAAGUUUUUUCGGUGUGGGAUGAGCUCGCGGCCUAUCAGCUUGUUGGUGGAGUAAUGGCCUACCAAGGCGUCGACGUGUAGCCGGCCUGAGAGGGUGUACGGCCACAUUGGGACUGAGAUACGGCCCAGACUCCUACGGGAGGCAGCAGUGGGGAAUAUUGCACAAUGGGCGCAAGCCUGAUGCAGCGACGCCGCGUGGGGGAUGACGGCCUUCGGGUUGUAAACUCCUUUCGCUAGGGACGAAGCGCAAGUGACGGUACCUGGAGAAGAAGCACCGGCUAACUACGUG
rnacentral:rRNA from 1 species